rnacentral:rRNA from 1 species
GAUGAACGCUAGCGGCAGGCCUAAUACAUGCAAGUCGAACGGUCCGUUGCGGCGGAUAGUGGCGCACGGGUGCGUAACACGUAUGCAACCUACCUUACAUUGGGGGAUAGCCUUUCGAAAGGGAGAUUAAUACCGCAUAAGACAGUAGCUGGGCAUCCAGUAGCUGUUAAAGAUUUAUCGAUGUAAGCUGGGCAUGCGUCCAAUUAGUUAGUUGGUGAGGUAACGGCUCACCAAGACGAUGAUUGGUAGGGGAACUGAGAGGUCAAUCCCCCACACUGGAGCUGAGAUACGGGCCAGACUCCUAAGGGAGGCAGCAGUAGGUAAUAUUGGGCAAUGGACGAAAGUCUGACCCAGCCAUGCCGCGUGCAGGAAGAAGGCGUUCUGCGUUGUAAACUGCUUUUAUAUAGGAAGAAACGACCCUUGCGAGGGGCAUUGACGGUAUUAUAUGAAUAAGCACCGGCUAACUCCGUGCCAGCAGCCGCCGUAACAC